CCUACGGGUGGCAGCAGUAGGGAAUCUUUCACAAUGGGCGAAAGCCUGAUGGAGCAACGCCGCGUGCAGGAUGAAGGCCUUCGGGUUGUAAACUGCUUUUAUAAGCGAGAAAUAUGAUGGUAACUUAUGAAUAAGGAUCGGCUAACUACGUGCCAGCAGCCGCGGUCAUACGUAGGAUCCGAGCAUUAUCCGGAGUGACUGGGUGUAAAGAGUUGCGUAGGUGGCAUAAUAAGUAGCGAGUGAAAUCUGGUGGCUCAACCAUUCAGACUAUUAGCUAAACUGUUAAGCUCGAGACCGUAAGGGGUAACUGGAAUUUAUGGUGUAGGAGUGAAAUGCGUAGAUAUUAGAAGGAACACCGAUAGCGUAGGCAGGUUACUGGGACGGUUCUGACACUAAGGCACGAAAGCGUAGGGAGCAAACGGGAUUAGAUACCCGUGUAGUC
rnacentral:rRNA from 1 species